rnacentral:rRNA from 1 species
UACGUAGGGUGCGAGCGUUAAUCGGAAUUACUGGGCGUAAAGCGUGCGCAGGCGGCGCGUUAAGACAGGUGUGAAAGCCCCCGAGCUUAACUUGGGAAUUGCGCUUGUGACUGGCGUGCUGGAGUGUGGCAGAGGGAGGUGGAAUUCCACGUGUAGCAGUGAAAUGCGUAGAGAUGAUGGAGGAACACCGAUGGCGAAGGCAGCCUCCUGGGCCAGCACUGACGCUCAUGCACGAAAGCGUGGGGAGCAAACAGGA